rnacentral:rRNA from 1 species
UACAGAGGUGCCAAGCGUUAGGCGGAAUCACUGGGCUUAAAGCGUGUGUAGGCGGAUCGUUAAGUACCUUGUGAAAUCCCACGGCUCAACCGUGGAACUGCUGGGUAUACUGGCGAUCUUGAGCCACCUAGGGGCGAGCGGAACAAGCGGUGGAGCGGUGAAAUGCGUAGAUAUCGUUUGGAACGCCAAUGGUGAAAACAGCUAGCUGGGGAUGUGCCGACGCUGAGACACGAAAGCCAGGGGAGCGAACGGG